rnacentral:rRNA from 1 species
AUUGAACGCUGGCGGCAGGCUUAACACAUGCAAGUCGAGCGGAGAUGAGGUGCUUGCACCUUAUCUUAGCGGCGGACGGGUGAGUAAUGCUUAGGAAUCUGCCUAUUAGUGGGGGACAACAUUCCGAAAGGAAUGCUAAUACCGCAUACGCCCUACGGGGGAAAGCAGGGGAUCUUCGGACCUUGCGCUAAUAGAUGAGCCUAAGUCGGAUUAGCUAGUUGGUGGGGUAAAGGCCUACCAAGGCGACGAUCUGUAGCGGGUCUGAGAGGAUGAUCCGCCACACUGGGACUGAGACACGGCCCAGACUCCUACGGGAGGCAGCAGUGGGGAAUAUUGGACAAUGGGCGGAAGCCUGAUCCAGCCAUGCCGCGUGUGUGAAGAAGGCCUUUUGGUUGUAAAGCACUUUAAGCGAGGAGGAGGCUACCUGGAUUAAUACUCUAGGAUAGUGGACGUUACUCGCAGAAUAAGCACCGGCUAACUCUGAGCCAGCCGCCGCAGUAAUAC